rnacentral:RNase_P_RNA from 1 species
GUGUUGAAGUAAUCGCUCUGGUUAACAGAGAGGAAAGUCCAUGCUCACACAAGCUGAGAUGCUUGUAGUGUUCGUGCUUGACGAAGUCAUAAGUCAAGGUAGCCUUCGUUGGCUAACGGCAGGGAAAGAACCUAAGUCUUUUGAUAUGGUUCGAUUACCUUUAAUGUGCCACAGAGACGAAAUUGACUCGGAAACGAUCAAUGUGGAACGCGGUAAACCCCACGAGUGAGCAACCCAAAAUAAGGUAGGGGCACUUUCUGCAAGAAAAUGAACUGUGCAGAAGGACAAGCUAUUGCUUGUAGAUAGAUGAUUACUACUGGCGUACGAGGUUGACCACCGUUUGUAGUACUAAAGUACAGAACAUGGCUUACCAAA